GCGCCCGUAGCUCAGUUGGUCAGAGCAGCCCGCUCAUAACGGGUUGGUCGCAGGUUCAAGUCCUGCCGGGCGCA
rnacentral:tRNA from 1 species